ensembl:lncRNA
GCCACGACUGCAGGCUUCAUACUGAAUACCAGCUGAGGGAGAAGAGCAGCAGCAGCAGAAAAGCAGGAUUUUCCUUUGGCUAAACAUCACAUUGGAGAACAGGAUGGGAUGCUAUGUUGAAAGACUCUCCUUUUCUGUCUGACAUGAUUUCUUUCUGCACUGCAAGCUGUUCUCCAAAAUGAAUAAUGACAGUGCCAUGUCUUCGAUGAGGCAGAACACCAACACUAAAUUGUGUCAUCACUUCUCUCAUACUGUAAAGUAGCAUGUGGUGGGCCCAGGAUCCCAGUCAGGGAAUGGCCACCCUGGUGAGUUGGACUGAUACAGCCUGCCGAAUCCAUUGCUCGGAUCCCUUGGCAGUCAUUUAAUAUUAUUACUUUCCCUCCUUUUCUUGGAUUUCUGCUUCCUCCUGUCUCCAUGUGAAGCAUGAGUGAAUUGGGAGAAGGCUGGGAAGGCGAACGGGCUCAAAACAAGAGCAAAAGAUAAUA